UGCGGAGGGAUCAUUGCUGGAACGCGCCCCAGGCGCACCCAGAAACCCUUUGUGAACUUAUACCUUACUGUUGCCUCGGCGCAUGCCGGCCCCCCCUGGGGGCCCCUCCUUCGGGAGGAGCAGGCACGCCGGCGGCCAACCUAACUCUUGUUUUUACACUGAAACUCUGAGAAUAAAACAUAAAUGAAUCAAAACUUUCAACAACGGAUCUCUUGGUUCUGGCAUCGAUGAAGAACGCAGCGAAAUGCGAUAAGUAAUGUGAAUUGCAGAAUUCAGUGAAUCAUCGAAUCUUUGAACGCACAUUGCGCCCUCUGGUAUUCCGGAGGGCAUGCCUGUUCGAGCGUCAUUUCAACCCUCAAGCCUGGCUUGGUGAUGGGGCACUGCUUCUUACCCAAGAAGCAGGCCCUGAAAUUCAGUGGCGAGCUCGCCAGGACCCCGAGCGCAGUAGUUAAACCCUCGCUCUGGAAGGCCCUGGCGGUGCCCUGCCGUUAAACCCCCAACUUCUGAAAAUUGA
rnacentral:rRNA from 1 species